AGGGCGAACACAAGGACACUCGAAACUAAAGGUAGAUGUGAACCUAACGGUAUGCCUGAAGCUUUGACGUGGCCCGAUCUUCUGAAAGGUUCUGCUAACUAUCGAUUUGGUAGAAACGAGACACAAAUGAAUCCAGCUUGUGAACAACACGAUUCGAAACCCUACAAUUCUUUUUAUUUUUUUAUAUUUUUAUUUUACUUAGGAGCACUCAAGAAGUAACCACAGGAAAUUUGAGCUUAAACAAGUGAAAGACGUGGCCUGUGGAAUUUUUUGAAGAUUGCGAAAAGUAUGAAAAAAAACUUUAAGAGGUG
rnacentral:lncRNA from 1 species